rnacentral:rRNA from 1 species
GUGCAGUGGCGGACGGGUGAGUAACGCGUGAGAAUCUGGCUCCAGGUUCGGGACAACCACUGGAAACGGUGGCUAAUACCGGAUGUGCCUUUGGGUGAAAGAUUAAUUGCCUGGAGAUGAGCUCGCGUCUGAUUAGCUAGUUGGUGGGGUAAAGGCUCACCAAGGCGACGAUCAGUAGCUGGUCUGAGAGGACGAUCAGCCACACUGGGACUGAGACACGGCCCAGACUCCUACGGGAGGCAGCAGUGGGGAAUUUUCCGCAAUGGGCGAAAGCCUGACGGAGCAAUACCGCGUGAGGGAGGAAGGCUCUUGGGUUGUAAACCUCUUUUCUCAGGGAAGAACAAAAUGACGGUACCUGAGGAAUCAGCAUCGGCUAACUCCGUGCCAGCAGCCGCGGUAAUACGGAGGAUGCAAGCGUUAUCCGGAAUGAUUGGGCGUAAAGGGUUCGCAGGUGGUAGUGAAAGUUUGCUGUUAAAAGUCGGGGCUCAACCCCGAACCGGCGGUGAAAACUACACAACUAGAGUGCGGUAGGGGCAGAGGGAAUUCCUGGUGUAGCGGUGAAAUGCGUAGAGCUCAGGAAGAACACCGGUGGCGAAAGCGCUCUGCUAGACCGUAACUGACACUGAGGGACGAAAGCUAGGGGAGCGAAUGGGAUUAGAUA